rnacentral:rRNA from 1 species
ACGCUCGACACCUACUGGAGGCAGCAGUGGGGAAUAUUGCACAAUGGGGGAAACCCUGAUGCAGCGACGCCGCGUGAAGGAAGAAGUAUCUCGGUAUGUAAACUUCUAUCAGCAGGGAAGAAAGUGACGGUACCUGACUAAGAAGCCCCGGCUAACUACGUGCCAGAAGCCGCGGUAAUCUGAGCGGGCUGGCAAGGC